CUUCUUGGGAUGACAACCAACUGCAGCAGGGAGAUAACGGACAGAGCUAAACCAGCGUAGGGAAGUACUCUUUCCCUUAUACUCCGAGUGUAUCUGUCCUCAAAAAAAAGUAAUGAGGUAGAUAGCCACACACUUAUUCAAGCCAACCUUUUAUGGAACAGACCGGCACUGCCACCGUGAACAUGGACCAGGAGUUUGAAGACAUAGAUACAGAGGGCCGGUGGCAAAAACUGUACUCAGAAAUCAGGAAUCAAUCCCACGAAUGCGCCUACAAAGUGGCAAAGUAUCCAGAGAAUCGCAACCGAAACAGAUACAGAGAUGUCAGUCCAUUCGAUCACAGUCGAGUGAAGCUGGAAAACACAGACAACGACUACAUCAAUGCAAGUCUGGUGGUGAUGGAGGAAGCCCAGAGAAGUUACAUCCUAACUCAGGGCCCCCUCAGGAACACCUGUGGCCACUUUUGGCUCAUGAUCUGGGAGCAGAAGUCCAAGGCAGUCAUCAUGCUCAACAGGGUCAUGGAGAAAGGCUCGGAAAAGUGUGCCCAGUACUGGCCCACGGCUGAGGAGAGGGAGAUGAACUUUAAGGACACGCGCUUCUUAGUCACACUGUUGUCUGAAGACACAAAGUCUUACUACACCACCAGACUGUUGGAGCUGCAAAAUAAUAAUACAGGGGAGAAGAGACAGAUUUAUCACUUUCAUUACACCACGUGGCCUGAUUUUGGAGUCCCCGAGUCCCCGGCGUCCUUCCUAAACUUCCUCUUCAAGGUACGGGAGUCGGGGGCGCUGGGCGUGGAUCAAGGACCGGCCGUGGUGCACUGCAGUGCUGGGAUCGGACGCUCAGGGACUUUUUCAUUAGUUGACACUUGCCUGGUCCUGAUGGACAAAAGGAAAGACCCGUCAUCGGUGGACAUUAAAAACAUCCUGUUGAACAUGAGGAAGUACCGCAUGGGUCUGAUCCAGACUCCUGACCAGCUGCGCUUCUCCUACAUGGCCGUUCUGGAAGGAGCCAAGUUCAUCAUGGGAGACUCCUCUGUACAGAAUCGAUGGCGGGAAUUAUCCAAGGAAGAUCAGGAGCCGACGUCAGACUCUCCCCCCUCUGCUCAGCCUCAAGCCAGGUGUCCGACGGAGCGACGCAACGGCAGCCAACGGGGAGAUCAGCUGGAGGAGGGAGAAGACUACAGGAAGGAUGGCAAAGGGCCUGCACAGUCUCUCUGCAAGGAGCAGGAGCUGGACGGCAGCACGACACACAAGCGGCGCAGAGAAGACAGUAUCUCCAAAUCAGGCACAGCCAAGACACCCCAAAGCAAGUCCAGGACAAAUGACUCGGAGAGGAAGAGAAAAAGUUUGGGCUGCAUUUGCUGCACAUGACAAGAGCUGGCCUGUCCAGUGGGGGGCAGUGUAUCUUUACCCCCCUCUGAGACAGCGACAACACCCACGGAGAGCACAUUUAGAGGACGAAGUUUACCCGCAGCUUUUAAAACGAGCGCCCACUCUUGUUCAUGGAGGGUGAAAACCAGCGACUGCUAACCGCCUCCACCUGCGGCCACACACACGACUACAGCUCGGCCAGCGAAGCCAGCAUCGGCAGGGACCUCCAGCUCUCUCCCAACCUCCGUGUCCUCCUUCCUCAACUCCAAAGCUCUCUUCCUCACCUCCGACUCAACAGCAAGCUUUCCUCCCGUCAUCGCAUUUUUAAAAAAAUUUUGGGUUCCGACCAAGUAGCAUUACUCAGCCAUGGCACCCCUCCACAUUCUUCCUCCCUCUUAGCAACAAGUCGCCCUCAGACCUCGCAGCUUUCUGCUGUCUCCUCAUCAUUUCUAAACUGUUUACAGCAGACACUUUGACAUUCUCUGAAGACAAACACACCAGCUCUUUACCCGCCGCCGCCGCCGGCCACAACUACCGUCAGCUCCACUUCCCCAGUCAAAAAAAAUUUUUUUUUAAUGUAAUUUCUCAUUUCAUGUCGUUUAUUUUUUGCAGCUUCCCCGUUCUUUUACGCUUCUCCGCUGUCAUAUUAUUAAGACUGAUUAUAGGGGCUAUGCAUUGCCAAUUUGUAAUGCUGCUCAUGUGUAUUUUUGGAAAACAUUUUUUUUUGUUUUCAGAGACAAAAAUAAAAAAUGUCUAUUUUUUAUAAGAGAUUACUUGAAGUUUUUCAGGUGACUUGGGUCUGGUCGAAUGAAAAGCACUGCCACCUCCGACACGAGAAUUUCAGUGGCAUGUUUCCAUGAUGUACAUAGUGUUCUUUUUAAAAAGAUGUGUAUAAAAAGACAUAUUUUUUGCUUGUAAAAAAAAAAAAACAUAAAAAACCACACAAUCUACAAUACAAAAAAAAGACAACAGCUUAUGUUACAGUCCCAGGUAAAGCUGAUUUCAUGAAUUGUUCUCCUUUUGUCUUAAGUUUGUUUCUUUUAGAGUGUAAUCUACAAAUAAAACUGGUAUCAUCUAGUUUGCAUACAAA